rnacentral:rRNA from 1 species
UACAGAGACUGCAAGCGUUACUCGGAUUCACUGGGCGUAAAGGGAGCGCAGGCGGACCGGUGUGUCAGAUGUGAAACCUUGGGGCUCAACUCCAAGACUGCGUCUGAAACUGCCGGUCUAGGGACUCGGAGGGGCUAGUGGAAUUCCUGGUGGAGCAGUGAAAUGCGUAGAUAUCAGGAGGAACACCAACGGCGAAGGCAGCUAGCUGGACGAGAUCCGACGCUCAGGCUCGAAAGUAUGGGGAGCAAAAAGG